UGUCCACAUAGACCUGAUAGGCCCACUCC
rnacentral:sRNA from 1 species